GGGUGUGGCCACUGCUUUCUAGAGUUCUUCUCUCUUACCCUGGAGUUUUGAGCACCAUGAAUAUUUGGGGCUGCAGGAGGUGGCAGGGUCUGCUGCUGAUUCCAUCCAGCAUCUUAAAGGACCAAAGGCCAGAGCUGUCAUGAGCAUGUCACUCCUUUUUUGGGUAGCUAUUUUUCUUCUCAUAGCAGUCCCCAUGGAUGCUGGAGUCACUCAGAACUUCAGAUACGUGCUAACAGCAACAGGUCGUGAGGUGACACUGAGAUGUGAUCAGGAUCUGGGUCAUGAUUCCAUGUACUGGUAUCGACAGGACCCAGGGUUGGGACUACAACUGCUCUCUUAUUCCCGCUAUGUUGGCUCCACUGAAACAGAAGUCCCUCAUGGAUACAAUGCCUCUCGAAAUGAAAAACCAUUCUUCCUGCUAACUCUCAAGCCUACAAACACAAACCAGACAUCUGGCUACUUCUGUGCUAGCAGUGAAACCACAGCAGAACAGAGUCACCUCUUCCUUGCACAAAAAAGGCAAUCAGAAGAGGUGAGAUGACUUGGCCUCCCCAGGCCUAACCUUAAAAAAAGGAAGGGAGAUACCAUCUCAGGAAUACAUGAGAAGACCCUGCAGGCUUUUCAUCUCUGCAGCACAGACCUCUAGGCUCUAUUCCAGCCCUUCCAGUUUCUUGCUUGGGCUGCAGUGGCUCUGAGACAAGAGAACUGAGUAGCAUGCAGGGAUCACCUGGGCCCCUGACAGUCUCUCAGCUCUCUUCUUCUUUCCUCCAGCCAUGGAGAAUAAAGAGAAUGUAUGCUACAGUGGCAAGACUUUUACAUGACUUUUAGAAGACAAGAACACUUGACCACUUCUUUAGAAUUUUCUACAACGAUGAUGAGGGUGAUUGCCUUCCUUGCCUCUUCCUGACAGAUUCAUAGCUUGUAUUGAAGUCCAUCUUAUGUCAGUUUCUACAGAAAAACUAUCCUGAUCCCAUAUAUCCUCCUAUCUCUAGUGUUAAUAUUCAGCAUACAUUAAGUUCUUGGUAUAUGCAUUGUAUUUUAUUUGCUGUGUACUUUUUCUUUUCCAAGAUAUUAAACGAGUUCUAUGAGGUCAAG